rnacentral:misc_RNA from 1 species
GAUGAAGAACGCAGCGAAAUGCGAUAAGUAGUGUGAAUUGCAGAAUUCAGUGAAUCAUCGAAUCUUUGAACGCACAUUGCGCCCUUUGGUAUUCCAAAGGGCAUGCCUGUUCGAGCGUCAUUUGUACCCUCAAGCUUUGCUUGGUGUUGGGCGUCUUGUCUCUAGCUUUGCUGGAGACUCGCCUUAAAGUAAUUGGCAGCCGGCCUACUGGUUUCGGAGCGCAGCACAAGUCGCACUCUCUAUCAGCAAAGGUCUAGCAUCCAUUAAGCCUUUUUUUCAACUUUUGACCUCGGAUCAGGUAGGGAUACCCGCUGAACUUAAGCAUAUCAAUACGGAGGA